GUUCCUACGGGGGGCAGCAGUGAGGAAUAUUGGUCAAUGGGCUUACGCCUGAACCAGCAAUGCCGGGUGAACGAGGAAGGUCUUCGGAUCGUAAAGUUCUGUUGAAGGGGAAAAAGAGCGGAGAGAGGAAAUGGUCUCCGAUUGAUACUACCCUUCGAGGAAGUCACGGCUAACUACGUGCCAGCAGCCGCGGUAAUACGUAGGUGGCGAGCGUUAUCCGGAAUGAUUGGGCGUAAAGGGUGCGUAGGCGGCCUGCUAAGUCUGGAGUGAAAGGUACCGGCUCAACCGGUACAAGCUCUGGAAAC
rnacentral:rRNA from 1 species